rnacentral:rRNA from 1 species
ACGUAGGCAGCGAGCGUUGCUCGGAGUUACUGGGCGUAAAGGGUGUGUAGGCGGUUCUUUAAGUUUGGUGUGAAAUCCCUCGGCUUAACUGAGGAACUGCACGGGAUACUGCAUGACUUGAGAUCGGGAGAGGGAAGCGGAAUUCCGGGUGUAGCGGUGAAAUGCGUAGAUAUCCGGAGGAACACCGGUGGCGAAGGCGGCUUCCUGGACCGACACUGACGCUGAGGCGCGAAAGCUAGGGGAGCAAACGGGA